AGUGAACGCUGGCGGUAGGCCUAACACAUGCAAGUCGAACGGCAGCACAGUAAGAGCUUACUCUUACGGGAGGCGAGUGGCGGACGGGUGAGGAAUACAUCGGAAUCUACUUUUUCGUGGGGGAUAACGUAGGGAAACUUACGCUAAUACCGCAUACGACCUACGGGUGAAAGCAGGGGAUCUUCGGACCUUGCGCGAUUGAAUGAGCCGAUGUCGGAUUAGCUAGUUGGCGGGGUAAAGGCCCACCAAGGCGACGAUCCGUAGCUGGUCUGAGAGGAUGAUCAGCCACACUGGAACUGAGACACGGUCCAGACUCCUACGGGAGGCAGCAGUGGGGAAUAUUGGACAAUGGGCGCAAGCCUGAUCCAGCCAUGCCGCGUGGAUGAAGAAGGCCUUCGGGUUGUAAAGCCCUUUUGUUGGGAAAGAAAAGCAGCAGGUUAAUACCCCGCUGUUCUGACGGUACCCAAAGAAUAAGCACCGGCUAACUUCGUG
rnacentral:rRNA from 1 species